GGAAAUCACUACUGUAAGUCGCUCUGGAUAAGAGCGUCUGCUAAAUGACAAAAA
rfam:Salmo salar isolate Sally breed double haploid chromosome ssa09, whole genome shotgun sequence.